rnacentral:rRNA from 1 species
GUCUAUUUGAAGAUAUAAAAAGUCGGGCCUGCUCACUGACAAAAAAUUUAAGAGCCGCGGUAUUAUGACCGUGCAAAGGUAGCAUAAUCAUUAGGUUUUUAAAUGAGAUCUUGUAUGAAUGGUUGGACAAAGGAAAAGCUGUCUUUAUUUUAAAAUUUGAAUUUUACUUUUGAGUGAGAAGGCUUAAAUAUUUUAGUGGGACGAUAAGACCCUAUAAAGCUUUACNUUGUAAUUAUAUUUAAUUGAAAUUAAGAAAUUAAAAAUUUAAUUUAAGAAUAUGUUUUAUUGGGGAGAUAAAAGUAU